rnacentral:rRNA from 1 species
UACAGAGGUCCCAAGCGUUGUUCGGAUUCACUGGCGUAAAGGGUGCGCAGGUGGGCUGGCAAGUUCGAUGUGAAAGCCCCGGGCUUAACCCGGGAAUGGCAUUGAAAACUGUCGGUCUGGAGGUUGGAGGGGGGGGGACUGGAAUUCUUGGUGUAGCAGUGAAAUGCGUAGAUAUCAAGAGGAACACCAGUGGCGAAGGCGAGUCCCUGGACAAUACCUGACACUGAGGCACGAAAGCCAAGGGAGCAAACAGG